rnacentral:rRNA from 1 species
AGAGUUUGAUCAUGGCUCAGGACGAACGCUGGCGGCGUGCUUAAUACAUGCAAGUCGAGCGAGGUUACUGGAGUGGAGCCCUUCGGGGUGAAGCUGCUUUAACCUAGCGGCGGACGGGUGAGUAACGCGUGGGUAACCUACCCCAAAGCCCGGGAUAACAGCGGGAAACCGCUGCUAAUACCGGAUGACUUUACCUUGGGGCAUCUUGAGGUAAAGAAAGGUUAACGCUUUGGGAUGGGCCCGCGUCCCAUUAGCUAGUUGGUGAGGUAACGGCUCACCAAGGCGACGAUGGGUAGCCGGCCUGAGAGGGUGGACGGCCACACUGGGACUGAGACACGGCCCAGACUCCUACGGGAGGCAGCAGUAGGGAAUAUUGCGCAAUGGACGGAAGUCUGACGCAGCGACGCCGCGUGAGCGAUGAAGGCCUUCGGGUCGUAAAGCUCUGUCCUUGGGGAAGAAGGUCUUCGGACUUGACGGUACCCAAGAAGAAAGCCCCGGCUAACUACGUGCCAGCAGCCGCGGUAAUACGUAGGGGGCGAGCGUUGUCCGGAAUUACUGGGCGUAAAGGGUGCGUAGGCGGCCCUUUAAGUCAGAUGUGAAAGCCCGCGGCUUAACCGCGGAACUGCAUUUGAAACUGGAGGGCUUGAGUGUCGGAGAGGGUAGUGGAAUUCCCAGUGUAGCGGUGAAAUGCGUAGAUAUUGGGAGGAACACCAGUGGCGAAGGCGACUACCUGGACGAUAACUGACGCUGAGGCACGAAAGCUAGGGGAGCAAACAGGAUUAGAUACCCUGGUAGUCCUAGCCGUAAACGAUGGGUACUAGGUGUGGGUGGUUUCGAUACCAUCCGUGCCGCAGCUAACGCAUUAAGUACCCCGCCUGGGGAGUACGUGCGCAAGCAUGAAACUCAAAUGAAUUGACGG